rnacentral:rRNA from 1 species
GCUUGUCUCAAAGAUUAAGCCAUGCAUGUCUAAGUAUAAACAAAUUCAUACUGUGAAACUGCGAAUGGCUCAUUAAAUCAGUUAUAGUUUAUUUGAUGGUAUCUUGCUACAUGGAUAACCGUAGUAAUUCUAGAGCUAAUACAUGCUAUCAAGCCCGACUUCUUGAAGGGUUGUAUUUAUUAGACUUAAGCCAAUAUUCCUUGUGUCUAUUGCGAUGAUUCAUAAUAACUGAUCGAAUCUCAAAUUUGAGAUAAAUCAUUCAAGUUUCUGCCCUAUCAGCUUUCGACGGUAAGGUAUUGGCUUACCGUGGCAAUGACGGGUAACGGAGAAUUAGGGUUCGAUUCCGGAGAGGGAGCCUGAGAAACGGCUACCACAUCUAAGGAAGGCAGCAGG